CAUUAUACUGAUAUUGAUUUGGGUGAUCAAGUUUUGUUUCUACCUCGAGAUGUGUAUGCCGAAAACCUAGGGUGUUUGAGCUCCAUCUUCGAUCAAGUUCAGAAAUCUCUAUAUCACGCACACGUAAAAAACACUGCUAACUAUAAUUUACGCAGAAAGCCUUUUGAAUUUAAUGUAGGAGAUACUGUUUAUAAACGCGCUUACGUCCUGAGUGACAAAGAUAAGUUUUUUAGUAAGAAGUUAGCACCGAAAUAUAUCAAGUGCAAAGUUGUCGAAAAACUCUCGCCACUUGUCUACGUUCUAGAAGACAUGUCGGGUAAAAACAUAGGCACUUGGCAUAUUAAAGACUUGAAAAUAUUAGGACAACACUCAUAGUUGUUACGUUUCGUUUUUGUUGCCCAUGCCCAUUAAAAUCUUUUUUUACAUUUCUUGCAAAAAGUCGUAAGCCGAUAAGACUUAUGACUUUCGUUAUGCUAUGGAGUCUUAUAAUUUUACAUAUUAUUUGAUUUAUUUUGACUGUUGGUGAAGUAUGAAAGGUUGUGUGAAAGGUGAUUGUAAGAAAUUGAUACACGAUUGAAAAUUGCGGAUUUUAAUUUUAAAAUUAAAAUCCUUAUGCGCGACGGGGGGUAAUGUAACGUAAUGUUACAACUGAAAUCGUCUGAAAAAUAAAAAGAUAAAAAAAAACCUUAAAACAAAAGUAUUUAUGUUCAAAGCAGUUAUUUUAUCGACUGUACCGCUGAGGUGAGAACAAUAGUUCCCACCUCCCCCCGAGACGUAGGUUCGGCUGGCGCAGACACUGCGCAGCCGCCGGCAGUCGUCACUAGACUUCCUUAUUAGUCUUACGUUUGUAUUCGAGUUCAGUUAAAGUUCGUUUUCAAACCUAGACGACUUACCUACAAAUAAUUUAUUUAAAAAAUAUAUUUAGUACAGCAAUAUCGUGUGCUGUUUAAUAUUAACACGAUUAAAAUAAACGGAUUCGACCCCGCUUUUAGGGGUUCAUGCCUUGCUGCCUUUCACGCUUCUUGCUUCGCUUGAUAAUCUGCGUCUGUGCUGAAAAGGUCAUCUCCGCACAGUAACCCGUACCCUGGUGAUCUAGCCAGCCCAGGAAACCUCCAGGAGUCCAGACGUGGUGCUUCAGCGGGUCAACCCACGUCCGUUGGCUGCCGGAAUUCAGGAGGGUAACCUACAGAGGGAGAGUCAGAUCGGCCGUACAACCACACCCUACAAAUUUGUGUGCUCAACUGCCUGUUUUUUUUUUGUAAUAUAUAUUUUUUUAACUGAGA